ACAUAAUGCAGCGCAUUCACUCUCAGUCUCCCUCUUUUUGUCUAAACCUUGAUUUCACUCUCUCUCUCUCUCUCUCUCUCUCUCUCUUCAAACCCCUUCGUAUUUGUAGAACCGCAGCUGAACCCCUUUGUAUUCGUAGAUCGAUUCAUGUAUUCGAAGAUCGAUUCAAGUAUUAUUCACUCUCAGUCUUGCUCUCUCUCUCUCUAAACCCUUAAUUUCAAUCCCUCUCGCUUCAAACCCCUUCGUUUCAGAGACAACCCUUCAUAUUUGUAGAACCGUAGCUGAACCCCUUCGUAUUUGCAAAUCGAUUCAAGUAUUCAUAUAUCGAUUCAAGCCUUUUCUCUAAUUCGUGUUCGCGUUCGCGUUCGCAGCUCUUUCUUCAUAAUGGUGAUGACUGUUUUCGCAUACAUCUAUCAUCAGUCAUUUGUUGCAUCACAAAGUUUAUCGGUUGAGAUGAUUUUGGACCAGAUAUUGAUGAACCUCACUUUCGAGGAGCAGCGAGCUCUAUACACGUAUGUUUGUAGCUUCUCCAGGUAAGAUUUCUGUGCGAGAAUGUGACAGUAUUGUUAAGCGGACAAGUUGAGAGGGUCUUGACUUCUGUAAUUCUUUUCCCUCUCCUUAUGAAUCUUAUGCAUGGUUGAAAUGUGAAAGGGGUGAAGAAGAAGAUUGCUAUGAAGUGCUGAGAGAGAAUGUGGCCACGGAAGCUUUUCCGACGACCCUUUGUUGAACAGUGUUGUUGGACAUCUCCUGCAUUCGUCAAUUCUUGUGCCUUAUCAUGGAUGUCUGUGAUGUUCAGGCACCGAUACAAAUGGCACAAGGCAGAACUGAAGAGUUGAUUUGUUCCAUUCCCUAGUUGGAUAGUAAUGACCUGGGAAGCAUCUGAAGAAGAAAUAUUAGCUUCUGGGGGAUUGGAUGCAGUGGUUUUCCUCAGGAUUGUUGUUUUCUGGUAAUUAUAUCUUAACUUAAACUUGUAAAGUGAAAGUUCAUUCAUGUGUUGUAGAGGUGCAGCUAAUCUUGAUUUGGAGAAUUACUAGAAAUGACUGAUAUGUAGAGGUUUUUGGUUGUUACAUUGCUGGGUAAUGUGAUUGUUUCCAUGAACUACAUUGAUAAGGGAUUUAUUGUUGACUGCCUAUCACAAAAAAAAGAAAAAUAAUAUAAAAGGGUUUCUUCUUGUCUGGUGCCUCUACGUUGGCAUCCUCUUCUUCUUCUUCUUCUUCUUCUUCUUAUUUUUCUUCGCAAAUGUUAGUGCAUUUAUAAUAUCAAUUAAUGUUUGAGUGAAAUUUCAAAAUCUGUAAUUUUCUUUGUCUAACACGAAAAAGUGAAAAGAUAGUAGCUAUUCACGAGAAUGGCAUGAUUGGCUGAAGAAAAGCUUGGCUACUCUUGUGGUAUCCAUCUUAUAUUAUUUGCUUAUGUUUUAUUCUAUUUUCUAUGACUAUGAAUAAGGGAUUUUUCAUUCUAGCUGAUUUAAAACAAUUGGGACCAUUUAUAAUAUGAGGAUCAUGUUUUUGACAGUGAAUGACAAAUACUGUAAUUUUUUAGUGCUUCACUUCAUACAAGUUACUUUGGUAGCUCUAGAGUUAGUGGUGCUAUACCUUCAACGUUUGUUGUUCUACGAAAUCUGCAGACAGUGUGGGCUUCAGACAAUGAACUCACUAGUAGCAUACCUGAAUUCAUUGGGAAUUGGUCAAAGCUUAAAAGCUUGAGAUUUCAGGGAAACUCCUUUGGAGGUCCAAUACCAACAACAUUUUCCAACUUAACCUUGAUGGAGGACUUGAGAAUAAGUGAUUUAUCUAGUGGAAGUUCUUCAUUGGCAUUUCUUAAGGAUAUGAAGUCUUUGAAUCUCUUGUAAGGCGAUAUGGUCAAAGAUUAUCAAAGAUUGUUACAACUGUUCGCAGAUAAAGAGGGUGGACUUAGCA